AGAGCUGGCUGCGGCGCCGCACCGAGCCCUGACUUGUGGGCGCCCGCCGCCCGGGCUUUCGGCAGGGUAGGCCUUUCACGGCGCGGGCUCGGCCUAGACACGUUACAUCCAAAAUCCCCACCGCCCAGGGCCCCAUGGCAGACCUGGCGUGUGCGAUGGGUUUGCUCCUCUGGCACCACAGAUGCCUAAGAAAUGUGAAAAUGUCAUUUCUUGAGGAGACCUUAGAAUUUAAACUACAGCCAACCGAAGAGAAAAGGUAGUGAGGUACUGGAAUCAUAUGUUUAGUAAAUGAUUCGUGGUCUACAUUUAUUUUUAAAGAAGUUUCCAAAAUAAUUUAGCAGGGAAGAUCCUACCAGUCAGCUUUAAAUGGCAGUGUUUUUUUGUUUUUUAAAAAGUCCCUUGUCAUUUACGUGCCUGAGACUUGAAAAAACCAUACCCUACCUUACAAGUGAGGCCUUUUUUUUUUUUAACUUCUUUUCCUUUAAAAAUUUUCUCUUAUUAUAAAAAUAAUACAUUCUCAUUCAAGGAAAUAUGGAAAGCACAGAAAAUGAUUAUAAUGUUUCACGACUGAAACUCAACUCCUGUAGGUUUGUAGUCCUCUGAUAGCAUUUUUCUUGUCUUUCAGUAUCGUUCUUUAAAAAACAAAAAUGAGCAAAAAUCUAUGCUAAAUGUCAAUGAAAAGUCAACAGCAAUUAAAAUGAUGCAGAAAACCGACAU
rnacentral:lncRNA from 10 species